rnacentral:rRNA from 1 species
AGAUUGAACGCUGGCGGCAGGCCUAACACAUGCAAGUCGAGCGGCAGCACGGGUACUUGUACCUGGUGGCGAGCGGCGGACGGGUGAGUAAUGCCUAGGAAUCUGCCUGGUAGUGGGGGAUAACGCUCGGAAACGGACGCUAAUACCGCAUACGUCCUACGGGAGAAAGCAGGGGACCUUCGGGCCUUGCGCUAUCAGAUGAGCCUAGGUCGGAUUAGCUAGUUGGUGAGGUAAUGGCUCACCAAGGCGACGAUCCGUAACUGGUCUGAGAGGAUGAUCAGUCACACUGGAACUGAGACACGGUCCAGACCUCCGUACGGGAGCAGCAGUGGGAAUAUUGGACAAGUGGGACGAAGUCCUGAUCCGAGACCAUGCCGCGUGUGUAGAAGAAGGUCUU